rnacentral:rRNA from 1 species
UUUCCGCUAGAGCGUCACC